rnacentral:rRNA from 1 species
GGAUUAGAUACCCUGGUAGUCCACGCUGUAAACGAUGUCGACUAGCCGUUGGAUUCCUUGAGGAUUUAGUGGCGCAGUUAACGCGAUAAGUCGACCGCCUGGGGAGUACGGCCGCAAGGUUAAAACUCAAAUGAAUUGACGGGGGCCCGCACAAGCGGUGGAGCAUGUGGUUUAAUUCGACGCAACGCGAAGAACCUUACCAGGUCUUGACAUCCCCGGAAUCUUUAAGAGAUUAGAGAGUGCCUUCGGGAAUCGGGAGACAGGUGCUGCAUGGCUGUCGUCAGCUCGUGCCG